rnacentral:lncRNA from 1 species
UCUAUUUAUAAAAUAAAAAAUAUUUGUUGAAUUUGGUGGAUUCCAAGGCUAAUUAAUAAUUUGAGCAAAUGACUUGUAAUCCUUCCACCGUUGAGAGUGAGAGGUAAUCGCUGCUCUGUGAAACCAGCCUCACGCAUUACCCUCAAGUUUAGGGAGGAUAUGAUUCAAGCGUUAGGCUGAAACAUAGCAUCCACUGUCCAACUUGGAAACGGGCAAAAUCAAAGCUAGCUCAUAAUGUCAACCUUGAGCUCAAUACCAAAUUAUUCAAAUACCUUAAUGCUCUAUUUUGUGACAAGCCCACGUUACAGAGCUCGGCGAUUGAUUUGUAGAUUUCUUGUAUAUAAACAACAAAGCUAUUUUCAAUUUUUUCGAUGUGGGAUUAUUUCUUAGAGUAUUAUUUUGUUAUAUAAAUUUUAAAAAUAAAAUCUUCGAAAGGGGUGAAAUGGUUAAAGACAAAAUGGAUCAUAGAAAUUAGGUUUCCUAUUUUAGGGUCAUUUUAAUUUGACUGGAUAGUUUUUUUCCUAUAUUUGCAACUUUAAUUUUAGAACAAAUUAAUCUACUAUUGAAAAAUUACCAAAGAAUAUGGAUUCUAUUUAUAAAAUAAAAAAUAUCUGUUGAAUUUGGUGGAUUCCAAGGCUAAUUGACAAUAUGAGCAAAUGACUUGUAAUUUGAGAGUGAGAGGUAAUCGCUUCUCUGUGAAACCAGCAUCACGCAUUACCCUCAAGUUUAGGGAGAAUAUGAUUCAAGCGUUAGGCUGAAACAUAGCAUCCACUGCCCAACUUGGAAACGGGCAAAUCAAAGCUAGCUAAUAAUGUCAACCUUGAAUUUGCAACUUAAAUUUUAGAACAAAUUAAUCUACUAUUGAAAAAUAAACAAAGAAUUUGGAUUCUAUUUAUAAAAUAAAAAAUAUUUGUUGAAUUUGGUGGAUUCCAAGGCUAAUUAACAAUUUGAGCAAAUGACUAGUAAUCCUUCCACCAUUGAGGGUGAGAGGUAAUCGCUGCUCUAUGAAACCAGCCUCACGCAUUACCCUCAAGUUUAGGGAGGAUAUGAUCCAAGCCUUAGGCUGAAACAUAGCAUCUACUGUCCAAGUUGGAAACAGGCAAAUCAAAGCUAGCUCAUAAUGUCAGCAUUUAAUUUGCAACUUAAAUUUUAGAACAAAUUAAUCUACUAUUGAAAAAUAAAAAAGAAUAUGGAUUCUAUUUAUUAAAUAAAAAAUAUUUGUUGAAUUUGGUGGAUUCCAAGGCUAAUUGACAAUAUGAGCAAAUGACUUAUAAUCCUUCCACCUUUGAGAGUGAGAGGUAAUCGUUGCUCUGUGAAACCAGCCUCACGCAUUACCCUCAAGUUUAGGGAGGAUAUGAUUCAAGCGUUAGCCUGAAACAUAGCAUCCACUGCCCAACUUGGAAACGGGCAAAUCAAAGCUAGCUCAUAAUGUCAACCUUGAGCUCAAUACCAAAUUAUUCAAAUACCUUAAUGCUCCACUUGGUGACAAGCCCACGUUACCGAGC